rnacentral:rRNA from 1 species
UACGUAGGCAGCGAGCGUUGUUCGGAGUUACUGGGCGUAAAGAGUGCGUAGGCGGUUUUCUAAGUUUGGUGUGAAAUCUCCCGGCUUAACUGGGAGGGUGCGCCGAAGACUGGAAGGCUUGAGUAUGGGAGAGGUAAGCGGAAUUCCUGGUGUAGCGGUGAAAUGCGUAGAUAUCGGGAGGAACAUCAGUGGCGAAGGCGGCUACCUGGCCCAAUACUGACACUCAGGUGCGACAGCGUGGGGAGCAAACGGG